UGAUCCUGCCGGACCUGACUGCUAUCGGAUUGGAACUAAGCCAUGCGAGUCGUUGUAGCAAUACAAGGCGGACGGCUCAGUAACACGUAGUCAACCUAACCUAUGGACGUGGAUAACCUCGGGAAACUGAGAAUAAACCGCGAUAGAUCAUAAUACCUGGAAUGGCUUAUGGUUAAAAUAAUUUAUUGCCAUAGGAUGGGACUGCGGCCUAUCAGCUUGUUGGUGAGGUAAUGGCCCACCAAGGCUAUAACAGGUACGGGCUCUGAGAGGAGAAGCCCGGAGAUGGGUACUGAGACACGGACCCAGGCCCUAUGGGGCGCAGCAGGCGAGAAACCUUAGCAAUGUGCGAAAGCACGACUAGGUUAAUCCGAGUGAUUUCUGUUGAAGAAAUCUUUUGUCAGUCAUAAAACCACAGACGAAUAAGGGGUGGGCAAGUCUGGUGUCAGCCGCCGCGGUAAUACCAGCACCUCGAGUGGUCAGGAGGUUUAUUGGGCCUAAAGCAUCCGUAGCCGGCUUUGCAAGUCUCCGGUUAAAUCCAACUGCUCAACAGAUGGGCUGCCGGAGAUACUACAAAGCUAGGGAGCGGGAGAGGCAGACGGUAUUCUGUGGGUAGGGGUAAAAUCCACUGAUCCAUAGAGGACCACCAGUGGCGAAGGCGGUCUGCCAGAACGCGUUCGACGGUGAGGGAUGAAAGCUGGGGGAGCAAACCGGAUUAGAUACCCGGGUAGUCCCAGCUGUAAACGAUGCAAACUCGGUGAUGCAUUGACUUAUGGUCAAUGCAGUGCCGCAGGGAAGCCGUUAAGUUUGCCGCCUGGGAAGUACGGACGCAAGUCUGAAACUUAAAGGAAUUGGCGGGGGAGCACCACAAGGGGUGAAGCCUGCGGUUCAAUUGGAUCAACGCCGG
rnacentral:rRNA from 1 species